GUCUGGUGCCAGCAGCCGCGGUAAUUCCAGCUCCAAUAGCGUAUAUUAAAGUUGUUGCAGUUAAAAAGCUCGUAGUUGACCCUUGGGCCUGGUUGGCCGGUCCGCCUCACCGCGUGCACUGGUCCGACCGGGUCUUUCCUUCUGGGGAGCCGCAUGCCCUUCACUGGGUGUGUCGGGGAGCCAGGACUUUUACUUUGAAAAAAUUAGAGUGUUCAAAGCAGGCGUAUGCUCGAAUACAUUAGCAUGGAAUAAUAGAAUAAGACGUGUGGUUUUUAUUUUGUUGGCCUUUUAGGACCGCCGUAAUGAUUAAUAGGGAUAGUCGGGGGCAUCAGUAUUCAAUUGUCAGAGGUGAAAUUCUUGGAUUUAUUGAAGACUAACUACUGCGAAAGCAUUUGCCAAGGAUGUUUUCAUUAAUCAGUGAACGAAAGUUAGGGGAUCGAAGACGAUCAGAUACCGUCGUAGUCUUAACCAUAAACUAUGCCGACUAGGGAUCGGGUGAUGUUAUCUUAUGACUCGCUCGGCACCUCACGAGAAAUCAAAGUCUUUGGGUUCU
rnacentral:rRNA from 1 species